rnacentral:lncRNA from 1 species
GACAUAACACAGCCCAGCGCUGUCCUCAUCCCCUUCCUCCACCUCUGGCCCCUUCUCUUUUUUGGAAGAUCUCUCCCUGAGCUUCCCGCUGUCCGCUCUGCAAUUGUCCCCCGGGUGGGCUGGGCUGGGUCCCCUGGGAGAAGCCGUGCGUGUCUGAGCCCGUGUGUCUGCUCCAGUUCCGUCAGCCCCGUGGUGUCCUGGGUCGUGAUGCCUAUGUCACAGCUCACUGGGCACAGCUGUGUGCAGAGCCCGAGUGUGCCCAGGAGCAGCAGCGUCCCCUGGACACCCUGCUGGCCAGGCUGAGGAGUGGGGGGGAGGGACCGAACCUGAGCCAAGGUCCUGGGGCCCGCAGGGUGGGUGGACACCAGGGCUCUCAGCAUCGAGUGUCCCUCGUCUUCGCACAGGCUGGGAGCUGACGCCGGCCUCCCCACCUGCUAACCUUGUCACGCGGGCAACACCAAGACUGAAAACAAGGACUAGGACCUGGUAUGUGCUGCCCACCACCCCGCAGUUCUCACCACGGGCUGUGGACCAUGUGUCAUCGUCAUCGUCACCGCCACGGCUGUGUGGUGAGGACAGCGCGGCUGGGGGGGUGAAACAAGAGGCCUGAGAGCCACAGGCCAUGGACCGGACCCUCGGAAGCCACGAGCGAGGUGAACUUCUCCUGCUGUACGUCGCGGUGUCACGCUGUGGCCCAGCAGUGGGACAGUGGCUGAGCCCGGGGUGAUGGUGGCGGGAGGCUCCUCAGGGUGAACUGAGGAAAGGCCUCCCCAGGAAGGGGCACUUCCGCUGGGACCGAGAUGGGAGGAGGACAUGCUAGCAGAGAGCACGGCCCAUGCAGGAACCACCUCGCAGGCCCAGGGCAGCUUGGGGGCCAUAGCCAGUGGCACAGGCCGAGCUGGGGACAGCAGGGAGCAGGGUGAGGUGCGGGCUCCGGGAACUGCAACAGGAAGUUGGGUCUCUGUCAGGGGAGAGUGACGCGCACGCCUUGUUGCUCACAGAGCGGCUCCAGGAGUGUGCAGGGUGCUGUGGGGAGCUGACAACCACCAGGAGGUUGCAUCCAACCAGGGGCCUUCUGCUGUCGCCCAAGCAGAGCAGUGGACGUGGCUGCCGGGGCUGCGUCCCAGCCACCGAGCAAAGUGCCCGGACGAUGCUGCAGUCACGGAGGAGACGGCACGGGGAGGAGCGGUGGCCACCUGAGGAGGUCCAAGGGGGCUGCAGCGGGAGGAGAGGCCCUCCAUCCGGGCUGUUCGUCACCGGGCGGGCUGAGGGCACAGCCCAGCUUUGGGGAGGGCAGGAGGUGGGGAGGGGCAAGCCAUGGGUCAGGGCCGACUUCCUGGGGAUCUGGCUUAGGGCAGGAAGUUUAACACGAUCUGUUUCGGUCACUUCUCUGACUAAAAUCCUUUAAUAGCUUGGGAGGGGGAAAAAAAAUCCUUGGGUCACCAUGACAACGCCAGGUGUGGCCAGGCAGCUGGGCUGAUCUCGGGGGCUGAUCUCGGUUCCUCCUGCUCUACUUCCAGCAACAACUCAGCGGGAGGGGCACAGACUGCCUCCCACGACCUGGUUGGAGCUGUCGCCCACACUCUGUAGCCGUGGCACGGGGGCCAGGUCUGGGACUGCCCUGUGCCUCGGUCUCACCUGCAACACGGGGCAGAUACAGUUCCUGCCAUGUUUUUGAUCACCAGCUGUCCCAAGCUGAGAGGAACGGGACACUACACCCUCUGACCACAUCCAGGCGGGGCACAUGCACAGGCCGCUGGGGCAGUCACCAUGUUUUUGAUCACGAUUCAUAAAAACCCACAGGAGAGAGCACUCCAGAGCGGCUUCAGAAAGAAGCAGGAAGGAUGAGAUGAACGUGUCUGAGGCAGGGAGGAGCCCGGCCUGCUCACGCACACCUGUAAUCCAGUGCCCCAGAGGCUGAAGCAAGAGAAUCUCCAUGAGUUUGAGGCCAGCCUGGGAUACAUACUCCAGUGGGAUACAACUCCAGACUCUGUCUCCAGAAGUAAAUAAACAAACAAACAAACAAACAAAAUGGAGGGUUCUGAGGGGGAUUAAUGGCAGCAUGUCUUUCACUGUAAUCAUUUUUAUUUUAAUAGUCGCCAUAUAUUUUGAUCAGCCCUCGUAGUACAGAACUUUUAAAAACACAG